UACGAAGGGGGCUAGCGUUGCUCGGAAUUACUGGGCGUAAAGCGCACGUAGGCGGCUUCUUAAGUCGGUGGUGAAAUCCUGGAGCUCAACUCCAGAACUGCCUUCGAUACUGGGAGCUCGAGUCCGGGAGAGGUGAGUGGAACUGCGAGUGUAGAGGUGAAAUUCGUAGAUAUUCGCAAGAACACCAGUGGCGAAGGCGACUCACUGGCCCGAUACUGACGCUGAGGCGCGAAAAGCGUGGGGAGCAACAGG
rnacentral:rRNA from 1 species